AAAAGGAAUCAAUAGAGAUUUGAAUUAAACAUGACGUCUUCUUUUCAAUUUGUUUCAAACGUCUGAUUUCUAUAGAGUGGAGGUCCUUGAUAUGGUAAAUAAAACGUAGGGUGAUUAUGAUGGUAGUCACAGGAAGAUUAAUUAUGAGAAUCCUGUGGAGAUAUGUUAUGAUUAUAUCAUGUCAAAUUGACUGUUAAUUCUUAUAGCCCUGUCUUCUGUUAGCAAUUAAGAAUGAAAAUUUUAUGUUGUAAAUGAACCAUUGGGAAGUAAAUUGGGUUUCUCCAAUAGUGUAUCGUCCUACUAUAUGAAUUCAUUGGAAAAUUACAAUUGAGUGAAAUUGGGAUUGGAAUUUGCAUAUGAUGUUCGCUGUUGAAUUAUCAAGCAAUGUUGUUGAUAUUACUAUUUAAACAGUAUCGUGAUAUUAGGAAGAACUAAAAAUGUCUAUAAUGGACUUCUUGAUAUGCGGUCCAUCAUAUAACCAUCCAUUUGGCUUUAGAAAACAGCUUCCUAUGGUUUGUGAUUCAUCCUAUUGUCAAGUGGUGUUAUGAAGGCUGUAUUCUUGGCCAUCACCAGCCCACUUUUGUGCAUAUUCCUAAAACUGAUCACUCCUAUUUUUUAUUGACAAAACAACGUAUAACCAUCUAAUCUAGUUUAUUACUGUUUGUUCUAGUUUCCCAUGUUUUUCACCCUCUGAUUAGUAUUAUUCCAGGGAGAAGAGGACUUUAAAACUGAAGGAUGAUAAAAUACGAGAAUUGGAGGAACAGCUCGGAAAUUUGAUGGUGUGCCUUGAGCCGGUAAUACUGUGGAACAGCUGUCAUAAUCAGAUGAAAUCAAGGAUUGCAGUAUCUUGCCAAUGCAAAUAGAGUCCUCAAGAAACAGCACUCAACGGUCCACAAGGGCUGAUGCUUGGAGGAUAUUUUGGUUCCUGCUGUAUUAAAUCAAACAAAAUGACAACAUUUUUCCGGUUUAAAAAGUGGUCAAACAUUUUUUUUAAAAUUUUAGAUUUAAAGGGGAUUUGAUUUGCUAGUUUAGUUUAGUGAUAUCAUAAUAGAUGGUGAUAGCUAAUGAACGUUAACCAGCAUUCUUUGUGGUUAAUUUGGAGGUCCAAGUUUUUUUGGUAAAGCUGACUAUGUAAAGAACUUUACGCUACCCGCACUUAUUGUAAAUUUUUAUGUCAAAUAGAAAUGUAAAUACAAUUUAGUGUACACAAGAAUUUUAUAUUUGACUCUGGCAUUUGUAUAAUUUGGCCAAGAUAUUACAAUAUUUACAUGA